AAACGACUCUCGGCAACGGAUAUCUCGGCUCUCGCAUCGAUGAAGAACGUAGCGAAAUGCGAUACUUGGUGUGAAUUGCAGAAUCCCGUGAAUCAUCGAGUUUUUGAACGCAAGUUGCGCCCGAAGCCUUCUGGCCGAGGGCACGUCUGCCUGGGUGUCACGC
rnacentral:rRNA from 1 species